AUCUCUGUGCACAGUGGGGCAGGCAGGAUGGGGGAUUGGGGGAUGGAUCAGGAAAAAAGUUGGACUUUUUCUUUGGGAGCAGGGGAACUAGGAGAAUCAUAGAAGAAAACAAGCUUGGGGAGAGGAGGUCACAUUUCAAAAAUCACAUGGCCAGUAAGUUGAAGGUUUUGGAUUCAAACCCAGGAAGUCUCAACACAGAGCCCUAUCUCUUCACCAUCUAACAAGCCAGAUAUUGUCCUCAUUCUCUAGAGGAAGCAUCAGCAGGAGACAGUUGAUCCUUUGACAUUGCUGUGUGUGGAUUUGAGGUCUGGGGAUGUUGCAGCCCCCUCGCAACCACCUUGUUGUGACACUAGUGCAGGGGUGGGAAUGGCCCGGAGAAUCACAGAGACCACUGGAUAAAGCCAAUCCUGAAGCUUCCGGCUCUGUGGGCCAACAGAUGUCCUUAUUGUCCCAACAGUCUGAG